AGUAAUUCACACUGAAAGACAGUAGACCUGUACUAUCUCAAAAAUCGGCAUAACAAGAAGAGUUUUAUUUAUUAUUUUUAAAUGAAAGUCUACCUUGUCACUGCUUUAAAAAAAUAUUGACAAAUUUAAAGUUGAUUUUUAUAUUGGGAGUUCUGGUUUAAGAUGGUGUCAGAAUUGGGAUCCAAAGUAGAGCUUCUAAUGAUCCCCAUGAGCACUGAGUGACCAUCCGAGGUACCUGCCAGUCUUACUGUGUCCUUUGGUCUCUUGGAGCAGCUGGGGACUAUGAGUCUCCGGAUUCCGGGAUCUAAAUGGGUAGUCAUGAUGAGAACGCAAAGACUGAAUCUUUGGAGAACAUCAGAGAAUCACUGCCCUUGCUAUUCACACUGCAGCAAAACUUCGGGAACUUGAACCUUGGAUUCAUAAUCUCACAACUGAGAAGGGUCCCUCCACACUCUUGGAACUGUACACCCACUGGAAAACCUUAAGAUUACUUACUGGCUAAACAGAAGUAUCUGUGCAGCUGGUGGCACUUGUUGCCCAUGGAGAACUACAUCAUAGUGCAUAUUAUAGAGAUUCAGUUGUACGGGAUUAUUGAAGAGACUGUUUAAUUAAAUCUCCUAGAUGCUACUUCAUAAAGAAGACCUGUGAUUGUGAACUGGGUGAGUUCAUUUCUAAGAAGUGGG
rnacentral:lncRNA from 1 species